rnacentral:rRNA from 1 species
GAUGAACGCUGGCGGCGUGCCUAAUACAUGCAAGUCGAGCGAACGGACGAGAAGCUUGCUUCUCUGAUGUUAGCGGCGGACGGGGGAGUAACACGUGGAUAACCUACCUAUAAGACUGGGAUAACUUCGGGAAACCGGAGCUAAUACCGGAUAAUAUUUUGAACCGCAUGGUUCAAAAGUGAAAGACGGUCUUGCUGUCACUUAUAGAUGGAUCCGCGCUGCAUUAGCUAGUUGGUAAGGUAACGGCUUACCAAGGCAACGAUGCAUAGCCGACCUGAGAGGGUGAUCGGCCACACUGGAACUGAGACACGGUCCAGACUCCUACGGGAGGCAGCAGUAGGGAAUCUUCCGCAAUGGGCGAAAGCCUGACGGAGCAACGCCGCGUGAGUGAUGAAGGUCUUCGGAUCGUAAAACUCUGUUAUUAGGGAAGAACAUAUGUGUAAGUAACUGUGUACAUCUUGACGGUACCUAAUCAGAAAGCCACGGCUAACUACGUG